AGCCUCUUUGACUGGAAUUCCCUUCCGGUCAAAGGGGCUGUAGAGCCUCUUUGAAUUCCAUUCCAGUCAAAGAGGCUCUACAGCCCCUUUGACCAGAAGGGAAUCCUUUCAGUCAAAGAGGCU
rnacentral:miRNA from 1 species